rnacentral:rRNA from 1 species
GUGAGGAAUAUUGCGCAAUGGAGGCAACUCUGACGCAGCCAUGCCGCGUGCAGGAAGAAGGCGCUACGCGUUGUAAACUGCUUUUAACCGGGAAGAAACCCCAGGACGUGUCCUGGGUUGACGGUACCGGAGGAAUAAGCACCGGCUAACUUCGUGCCAGCAGCCGCGGUAAUACGAAGGGUGCAAGCGUUAUCCGGAUUCAUUGGGUUUAAAGGGUGCGUAGGCGGAGCGUUAAGUCAGUGGUGAAAUCCUGCAGAUUAACUGUAGACUUGCCAUUGAUACUGGCGCUCUUGAGUGCGCUUGAAGUGGGCGGAAUGUGCCGUGUAGCGGUGAAAUGCUUAGAUAUGGCACAGAACACCAAUUGCGAAGGCAGCUCACUAAGGCGAUACUGACGCUGAGGCACGAAAGCGUGGGGAUCGAACAGGAUUAGAAACCCGUGUAGUCC